UGGAGGAUAUUGCACAAUGGGCGAAAGCCUGAUGCAGCGACGCCGCGUGGGGGAUGAAGGCCUUCGGGUUGUAAACUUCUUUUGCUCUGAACAAGGCAUGCUAAUGGGUGUGUUGAGUGUAGGGGUUGAUUAGCGCCGGCUAACUACGUGCCAGCAGCCGCGGUAAUACGUAGGGCGCGAGCGUUGUCCGGAAUUAUUGGGCGUAAAGGGCUUGUAGGUGGCUGGUUGCGUCUGUCGUGAAAGCUCAUGGCUUAACUGUGGGUUUGCGGUGGGUACGGGCUGGCUUGAGUGCAGUAGGGGAGGCUGGAAUUCCUGGUGUAGCGGUGGAAUGCGCAGAUAUCAGGAGGAAUACCGGUGGCGAAGGCGGGUCUCUGGGCUGUUACUGACACUGAGGAGCGAAAGCAUGGGGAGCGAACAGG
rnacentral:rRNA from 1 species